ensembl:lncRNA
AUUUUGAAACUAUUUCUAAUUUUGAAAUAUACAUUAAUUCUAGCUUUUUGCAAUUUAUACUGUUUUUUUUCUGCACUUUUAUUUGUGUUUUAGAUUUUAUCAACACCAGAUUAACUUACAUCAUUUUCACACACACACACAAAAAAAAAAAAAAAAAAAAAGGAAAGGAGAAGAAAAGAAAAAAAAAACAAAAAAAAAAACAAAAAAAAAAACAAUUAAAAAAAAAAAAAAAAAAAAAAAAAAAAAAAAAAAAAAAAAAAAAAAAAAAAAAAAAAAAAAAACCCUUCCCUCUAACACCUAAUUUAAAUUUCCCCUCUUUUAGUUUAAAAUCAUUCCUAUUGCUCUCUACCCUUGUAGAGAAUUUAUUUCCCUCAAAAACAAAUGUUUUGUCUCAAGUUGUUUUUGAGCAUUACUGAUUGCAGAAACUUUGGGAGUAGAAAUGGAUGCUUGAUGAACAUUUGAUCAGAGCUUUUAUGUCAUUGUAUAUCUCUGCAGUUCAAAAUAUUUUCUCAUUGAAUAUGGAACUGAUUGGAAGACACAUGCUGUCACAAUAAGUAUAAAUAUUACCUUUAAUUUUAAAACUACAUACCGUGUCAUUUAGUAAGAGCCAGGUGAAGAUACUGAAUAAAAGGCUAAUCUGUUAGGUUGCUAAGAGUAGUUGAGCACGAACAAUGGGAACGAUAUGGGGCCAUUAGUUAGGGGUGGGGUUUGGGGCGAAGAAUAGGUGUGGAAUAUUGCACUGGUGUCCACAGUUUACGGGUUGGUCCGGCCCGGUUUCGUGACUAGUGGGGCAGAGGGAUUUCUUUUCCAAAAUCCGCACCUCCGGAAAAGGGAAACAGGGGACCCCCCC